CGUUAGCGGCGGACGGGUGAGUAACACGUGGAUAACCUACCUAUAAGACUGGGAUAACUUCGGGAAACCGGAGCUAAUACCGGAUAAUAUAUUGAACCGCAUGGUUCAAUAGUGAAAGACGGUUUUGCUGUCACUUAUAGAUGGAUCCGCGCCGCAUUAGCUAGUUGGUAAGGUAACGGCUUACCAAGGCAACGAUGCGUAGCCGACCUGAGAGGGUGAUCGGCCAC
rnacentral:rRNA from 1 species